AGCGGUAGAGAGAAGCUUGCUUCUCUUGAGAGCGGCGGACGGGUGAGUAAUGCCUAGGAAUCUGCCUAGUGGUGGGGGAUAACGUUCGGAAACGGACGCUAAUACCGCAUACGUCCUACGGGAGAAAGCGGGGGAUCUUCGGACCUCGCGCCAUUAGAUGAGCCUAGGUCGGAUUAGCUAGUUGGUGGGGUAAAGGCUCACCAAGGCGACGAUCCGUAACUGGUCUGAGAGGAUGAUCAGUCACACUGGAACUGAGACACGGUCCAGACUCCUACGGGAGGCAGCAGUGGGGAAUAUUGGACAAUGGGCGAAAGCCUGAUCCAGCCAUGCCGCGUGUGUGAAGAAGGUCUUCGGAUUGUAAAGCACUUUAAGUUGGGAGGAAGGGCAGUAACUUAAUACGUUGCUGUUUUGACGUUACCGACAGAAUAAGCACCGGCUAACUCUGUGCCAGCAGCCGCGGUAAUACAGAGGGUGCAAGCGUUAAUCGGAAUUACUGGGCGUAAAGCGCGCGUAGGUGGUUUGUUAAGUUGGAUGUGAAAGCCCCGGGCUCAACCUGGGAACUGCAUCCAAAACUGGCAAGCUAGAGUACGGUAGAGGGUGGUGGAAUUUCCUGUGUAGCGGUGAAAUGCGUAGAUAUAGGAAGGAACACCAGUGGCGAAGGCGACCACCUGGACUGAUACUGACACUGAGGUGCGAAAGCGUGGGGAGCAAACAGGAUUAGAUACCCUGGUAGUCCACGCCGUAAACGAUGUCAACUAGCCGUUGGAUUCCUUGAGAAUUUAGUGGCGCAGCUAACGCAUUAAGUUGACCGCCUGGGGAGUACGGCCGCAAAGGUUAAAACUCAAAUGAAUUUGACGGGGGCCCGCACAAGCGGUGGGAGCAUGUGGGUUUAAUUCGAAAGCAACGCGAAAGAACCCUUACCUGGCCUUUGACAUGCUGAGAACUUUCCAGAGAUGGGAUU
rnacentral:rRNA from 1 species